AUGAACGCUGGCGGCGUGCCUAAUACCUGCAAGUCGCGCGAACAGACGAGGAGCUUGCUCCUCUGACGUUAGCGGCGGACGGGUGAGUAACACGUGGAUAACCUACCUAUAAGACUGGGAUAACUUCGGGAAACCGGAGCUAAUACCGGAUAAUAUAUUGAACCGCAUGGUUCAAUAGUGAAAGACGGUUUUGCUGUCACUUAUAGAUGGAUCCGCGCCGCAUUAGCUAGUUGGUAAGGUAACGGCUUACCAAGGCAACGAUGCGUAGCCGACCUGAGAGGGUGAUCGGCCACACUGGAACUGAGACACGGUCCAGACUCCUACGGGAGGCAGCAGUAGGGAAUCUUCCGCAAUGGGCGAAAGCCUAACGGAGCAACGCCGCGUGAGUGAUGAAGGUCUUCGGAUCGUAAAACUCUGUUAUUAGGGAAGAACAAAUGUGUAAGUAACUAUGCACGUCUUGACGGUACCUAAUCAGAAAGCCACGGCUAACUACGUG
rnacentral:rRNA from 1 species